rnacentral:misc_RNA from 1 species
GAUGAAGAACGUAGCGAAAUGCGAUAAGUAAUGUGAAUUGCAGAAUUCAGUGAAUCAUCGAAUCUUUGAACGCACAUUGCGCCCCUUGGUAUUCCGAGGGGCAUGCCUGUUCGAGCGUCAUUAUAACCCCUCAAGCUCAGCUUGGUGUUGGGGCCUGCUGCACUGGCAGCCCUUAAAAUCAGUGGCGGCGCCAUCUGGCUCUAAGCGUAGUAAUUCUUCUCGCUAUGGAGUCCUGGUGGAUGCUUGCCAUCAACCCCCCCAUUUUUUAAUGAUUGACCUCGGAUUAGGUAGGGAUACCCGCUGAACUUAAGCAUAUCAAUAAGCGGAGGA